UCAUAUACUCCAAAAGAGUUCUGUGAAUAUUUUUAUCUUGUAUAUCUAGAGCUAGCAUUUUUUUUGGGGGGGGGGGAGGCAUUAAGUGUCUAUUUGACAGAGAGAUUUGAAGUAUUCAAAAGUGGUAGUUUCUCCAACCUUUGAAGUGGUUCUAGAAGAAAAUUUUGCAAUCUUUCAAAUGUCUUUGAGACACAGAGAAAAAGCCCUCUUUCUGGAGAAGCACCACAGACCCGCCAUUCUUCAACACCUUAGCUUCAUCUUCAAAUUAAGGCACUGAAUAAAUUAGGUUGUUUUCUUUUCUUUUUAAUUUUUAUACAGUUGUAGCCAAGAGAUUGCACAGCUGUGUUUUCCUUCCACACAAAAUUAGGUCUCUGCGUUUUAAUGUUUCUUUCAUUCUUUUUCCACUUGAAAAAAUACUUUGAGCAAGACUUAAAGGCAAAUGGAAUAUGAAUCAGAGGCAUCUUCUUUCUCUUGAGAAUUUGGAAGGUUUCACUUGGCAACUUCAGGUGGAGAAGAAAGCUUGUUACUGACAAACAUAGAAAUCUUGGAAGUGGCAUCUUAAAGAUGACAGAGCCAUAAGGUAACAGGAUCCUGGGCCCUGUAUCACCACUUGGAAGAAAGCAGCACACAAAUCACUAAUGCACGUUUGGAUUUUCCUGAAUGAGAAGUGAGAACACAGCAAGAAAGCACCAGCCAAGAAUGAGGAAGUGGGCCCUCACUACAACACCAUUGUGCCAGCACCCUGAUCUUGGACCUCCCAGACUCCAGAACUAUGGAGAAACCAAGAGUCAGAAAGAUUAAGAUAACUUCUCCAAGAUCACAAGUAGCAGACCCAGGGCCAGGAUGACACCUCAGUGGACUCACAUCUGAAUCAUCCCAGGAAGUCUAGAGGGAGGAAAUGAGAGGAUGUCCUAUUCACAGAAUGGCAGAUGCCACCACCCAGAGACAAGCCAAAGGCCCCUUCUCAAAACUCUGACAAGUAGGGGAAGCAAGCCAGCCUGGCUCCCAGCUAUACCCAACAUGUCUCUUUGAAUCUCACUUCAGGACCUAGGAAAGAGCUCGAGGACCAGGCCACAGGCUGUCUGUCCUACCUGGUAAGUUCAGACUAAGAAGUUAGGAUGCCAAAUGAAAUCCCCCACAUGUACUACCUUCCUUCUAAUUUCCAGCCCCCUCUGCUGUUUAUGAAGAGUAAAAAUUGACAGCUGCCUUCUAAGGAGCAUUAGGUGGCCUAACCAGUACACAGUGAUUUUCAGGACUGAUGUUUGCAAUUAUUCUACACUUUUGACCAAUGCCUGGUCCAUGGAAGAAGGGUUCAUGACUAAGAUAAGAAGGUGCCACUUAUGUUUGGCCUCUGGGGGAACUAUAUUUGCCUUGACUCCUCUCCAAGCAUGUGGUUUGCAUUACCUUGGCCAGAGACAGCAACU